rnacentral:lncRNA from 1 species
GCCUCUGGGACGGAGCAAAACUCCUCUGCCACUCUCCUCUACCUACCAGCUGGGCACUACGGCUCCCCGGCUGCACAGGAGCCACUGCCAGACGGAACAAAAUCAGGCUUUGGGGAGCUUCCUGCCACGUCAAGAGUGGCCACCAGCCUCCAAAGCAGGAAUGUGGUCAAGGCCAGGAAAGAGGGUGAUCUGCCAUCCCGGGGGCCCUGCUCGCAGGCCCCAGAGGAACACCUGAGCCCCAUCUCCCGACUCCCUCAUGCCCCGGUAGAGGUCAGCCGAAUGUCCUUCCUGCAACCAGAGAGGCCACACCAGGACCAGAGUCACUGCCUUCAGGGGGCUCAGUCCCAGAGGUAAGACCCUCCAUGACAAGGAGGCAAGCGGCAAGCUGCGUGCCUGACCCCACCAGUCACACUCUGUGCCUGCUGUGGCCACAGGGCCAAGGGGCAGCAGCUCUGUCUUGGUCCUGGGGUCGUUAGUCAUCCAUCCACCCAGUCCCUGUGCAUCCACCACGUGCUUCUGGAGAACAGCAGCGGUCCCACCCUGUCCACUCAGCUGAUGUGGCCAGGCUCCUGCGCAGCUGGUCACCGUGCACUGAGCGUGCGAGCUGACCCAGCAGACGCCCUGCCUCUGUGGCUAACCGUCUGGUGAGGGAAAGGGCAGUUACCAACUGAACAAGCGGCUUAAAACGCUGACAGAGGAAACCCACAGAGGGCUGCGAUAGAGAACUCCAGUGGAGCCUGUGUGAGAAGGUGACGGCGAGCUGCGCCUGGGGUGGGGGAGCCAAACGCUCGCAGAACCAUGCACUGAGCCAUGUGCUGAGCCACAGGCAGAGCCAUGCACAGAGCCGCACUCAGAGGAAACAGCCCCAGGAACGCCCCGAGGUCGUGUGCACUGGGUAUGCACAGGACAAUGGCUGGUGUGCAGGAGGUUCUUGGCUUACCACGAGCGUCAACAGUUCUUGGUGGCAGGGCACCUCUGCCAACCUCGGAGAGGCCCUGUCUGGACCUCCUGCCUCUGUGCUCAUCGCCAAGCUCCCCAGCCUGCCGGGCAGAGGUGCAUGCAGGACUCAGGGAGGCAAGAGGCCGUGCUGGUCUGCAUGACAGAAUUCCCCUCGUGGUGGAAAUUAGAUGACAACUCAGAGGAGAUAAUCUGGAUAAAGGAGAGAUUUUUAUCUAAACAGAUACCCAGUGAGUGACAGAAUGCACCAGAGAAGCUGGUCAGUGUGACAAAUGGUUGCAGCCAAGAGCCCUGGGAUACGAGUGAUGGAGGAGCAGCCCAGGGCCCCACGAAGAGAGGUUUCCAGAAGCAUUGCCCCGUCUUGUCAGUUAGACAGCAGAGAGAGGGAGAGGAGGCAGGGUGCCCACCCAGGGCCUCCCCCAGGCUCUGAGGUCUCCAGGCACGCACAGGCAAACCAAGUGGUCCAGAGCAGCCGUGGCUAACUGCAUGCCAGAGAUGCGCAGGGUGGGCCUUAGACCACGGCACAAAUCACUCCCCCGGGCAGGGAUGGAGAAGGCAGAACUCUGAUGCUGAGACUGUAACUCCAUUACUGCCGGGAAAGCUGGCCUCUUAAAGACUGUUAUCAAUCUGAAUUAAACCGAGGGUUUUAAGAACAGAGCGCCUUCCAGGAUGCGUCCCUUCCCAGCUUUAUCAUCUCCAGUGUCAAGUCACUUCCAAAAGAAAAAAAAUUAAGCCAAAGGGGAUAAUAAGUAAUAAUUUUUUUAAGCGUGCUUUGUUCCUGGUCUUUACAUGAAAGAAGACUAAGAGCACCCGGCAGGCCCUCCUGGGUGGGUUCUGGGCCUCACCCUGCGUGGGGCUGGGAAGGAACCGGGGUCGCCGGGCGCUGACCUCAGAUUCCCAAACCCAGCCACCUGCUGACUGUCGGAAUCACCUGGGUGCCUGUAGGACACGCAGCUCCCUGGGCCCCGCUAGCCCUGCUGAACCAGAACGUCCGGGGAGAGGCCUGGGAGUCUGCGUUCUAGAGCCUGACUCGUCGUCCUGAUGCUUCACCCAGCGCGCUGUGUCCUGCCUGCCCCUGCCACCACCUCCUUCAGGCCGUCCUCGUGCAGCAGCCACAGGAGACGCUACUCCCUUGUCCCUUGGUUAAUGGUUGGCCCCUCACCUGAAAAAGUAU